CCUAGUGUUAAAAUUUUUUUUUUAAUUCUUUUCGUGUCUUUCAAUUUUUCUACAUUUAAAAGACUUAAUGGUAAAUUCUAGGUAUUAACAGGAGGCCUUCUCCCUCCCCACUCCACCCCCAACACCAUUUAACCAUGAGUAGGGGCUCUCAGCCAUCUAUUUUCCAUGAAGUUUAGAACUUAACCUUUUUAUCAACUCUGCUGGCUAAAUUAAACAAAAGUAACUUGUCUUCAUGCCUCGUAUGUACUUUGUUUCUUAAGAUGGACUUGAAUUAGA